rnacentral:rRNA from 1 species
UACGUAGGGUGCAAGCGUUAAUCGGAAUUACUGGGCGUAAAGCGUGCGCAGGCGGUUUUGUAAGACUGUCGUGAAAUCCCCGGGCUCAACCUGGGAAUGGCGAUGGUGACUGCAAGGCUAGAGUUUGGCAGAGGGGGGGUAGAAUUCCACGUGUAGCAGUGAAAUGCGUAGAUAUGUGGAGGAACACCGAUGGCGAAAGGCAGCCCCCCUGGGUCAAAACUGACGCUCAUGCACGAAAGCGUGGGGAGCAAACAGG